CGUAGGGUGCGAGCGUUGUCCGGAAUUAUUGGGCGUAAAGAGCUCGUAGGCGGUGUGUCACGUCGGCCGUGAAAACCUGCAGCUUAACUGUGGGCGUGCGGUCGAUACGGGCAUCACUGGAGUUCGGCAGGGGAGACUGGAAUUCCUGGUGUAGCGGUGAAAUGCGCAGAUAUCAGGAGGAACACCGGUGGCGAAGGCGGGUCUCUGGGCCGAUACUGACGCUGAUGCGCGAAAGCCAGGGGAGCAAACGGG
rnacentral:rRNA from 1 species